rnacentral:rRNA from 1 species
GAAAGUUGCAAAGUACUUUGAAGAGAGAGUAAACAGUGCGUGAAACCGCUCAGAGGUAAACGGGUGGAGUUGAACUGCAAGCUUUGAGAAUUCAGCUGAUGAGUGUGGUUUGAGCUUGGUCAAAUUGGUGAACUCCGGGGUCUGCGUAGUAGCAGGUCUUUGCCUUCGGGUGAGGAUGCGCGAUACACUUGUCAAGUGUUGUGCGCUUCGGUUGUUCUUCGGCCUGCUCGUCAGUGCACUUUCUCUUAGUGGUCACCACGACCGGCACCGCUGUCUGGCUUCUUCGGUUAAACCGGUUUUGCUUAGUCAUAAGGCUUUGCUUGAUCGGGAGGGCAGGUAGCUCGUUGACUUGCUUGUGGUUCGCUGCAAGCGUUCGGUUUUCGAGUGUUAUUAGCUGACCGGAGUAGUACUGUGCAGUGUGUCGGAGACGGCGGCUUGUAGUGCGUGCAUGCGUGCCUGUUCUGCUGACUUGUCCGAGUUUGGUUAUUAUGUUGCCUGUUCAAGCAGGCCUGGUGAUGGCUCGGAUUCGUUCGGUGGGCGGUUGCGUGUGUUGCACCUUUCAGGGCCAACAGUCUGUGGUGUAGUGGUAGACUUUCCACCCGACCCGUCUUGAAACACGGACCAAGGAGAGUAACAUGUACGCGAGUCAUUGGGCGUUACGAAACCCACAGGCGCAGUGAAAGUAAAGGUCUGACUUGUUCAGGCUGAGGUGAGAUCCUGUCGUUUCUCACGCGCGGUACUACCAAGCAUCGAGCGGCAGGCGCAUCACCGGCCCGUCCCAUGGCAGUUGUCUUCGGACAGUUUUCGGUCGGGGCGGAGCAUGAGCGUACAUGUUGAGACCCGAAAGAUGGUGAACUAUGCUUGCGCAGGUUGAAGCCAGAGGAAACUCUGGUGGAGGACCGCAGCGAUUCUGACGUGCAAAUCGAUCGUCAAACGUGAGUAUAGGGGCG